rfam:TPA: Bos taurus chromosome 3, whole genome shotgun sequence.
UCCCUGAAUGUCCAGUGGUUAGGACUCUGUGCUUUCACUGCUGAGGACACAGGUCCAAUCCCUGUUUGGGGAA